GAUCCAAGAUGACUUGGAUAUCAAAAUUUAGUAAAUAAUUUUGUAGGUGUAUCAAGAAUCUAAUGAAAUAAAAAGAGAUAAUUUUUAUAAAUGGAUGCCUUGGGAAUGAAGUUGGAUGGAUGAUGAUAUUUGGUAAAAUCUGAAUUUUUUUCCUUCAUCAUGCCAUCAUCAUUUGCUGAAUAUAUUUUGAUUAAUUAAUUAAUUUUGAUGAUUUAUUAGUACUUACAAUGUUUAUAUUCCAUGAUUUGAAUAUUUGGACAUAUUGAUUUUACAUUAAAUUCAAAAUUUACAUGUCUUCUUCUAUGAAUC
rnacentral:lncRNA from 1 species